rnacentral:lncRNA from 1 species
CACGGAGGGCCCGGGCGGGGAAGGGUGGGGGGCUUGCAGGGGUGCCUGGGUCGGGGGCUGCAGGUGGGAGUGAGCAAAUGUGCUGUCUCGCCACCUCGGGACAGGUGGUAGGGCCUCUGACACAGAGUGGUCCUUCCUGCUGUUCACAGCUCAGCUCACCGUGGGCUGACCAUAGAUUCUCGUUGAAAUCCUAACGCCCCAGGCAAUGAUGUUAGGAGGCGGGGCUUCUGGGAGAUGGCAAGUUCGUGAGGCUGCAGCUCUGCUGGGGGAUCAGUGUCCUUCUACAAGCGGCUCCAGGGAGGUCCCUUGCCCCUUCCACCAUGUGAGGACCCGAGAUGGUGCCGUCUAUGAACCGGGAAGUGAGUCCUCUCCGGACGUGGAACAAGUUGGUGCCUUGAUUUUGAACUUGCAGCCUCCAGGUGAGCCGCUGCUUGGGGUGAGCAUGCUUCCUGCUGGAUGCUUCUCUAUGUAAGCACCUGCCUGAGUGUCAGCCCUCUUAAGGUGAACCGCUCCGUGUCAUUCGUACAUUCACAAGUUUGUGCCGCCAUCAUCGUGAUCGGAUUCCAAAACAUUUUCAUCACCUCCAAGAAAGCCUUGUACCUGGCAGCAGUCACUGUCUCUAUGGAUUUGCUUAUUCUGGACAUUUCAUAAAAAUAGAAUCAAACAGCA